rnacentral:tRNA from 1 species
GCGGAAGUAGUUCAGCGGUAGAAUACAACCUUGCCAAGGUUGGGGUCGCGGGUUCGAAUCCCGUCUUCCGCU